rnacentral:rRNA from 1 species
UAACAGGAUUAGAUACCCUGGUAGUCCACGCCGUAAACGAUGAGUGCUAAGUGUUGGAGGGUUUCCGCCCUUCAGUGCUGCAGCUAACGCAUUAAGCACUCCGCCUGGGGAGUACGGCCGCAAGGUUAAAACUCAAAUGAAUUGACGGGGGCCCGCACAAGCGGUGGAGCAUGUGGUUUAAUUCGAUGCAACGCGAAGAACCUUACCUACUCUUGACAUCCAGAGAAUUUGCUAGAGAUAGCUUAGUGCCUUCGGGAACUCUGAGACAGGUGCUGCAUGGCUGUCGUCAGCUCGUGUUGUGAAAUGUUGGGUUAAGUCCCGCAACGAGCGCAACCCUUAUCCUUUGUUGCCAGCGCGUAAUGGCGGGAACUCAAAGGAGACUGCCGGUGAUAAACCGGAGGAAGGUGGGGAUGACGUCAAGUCAUCAUGGCCCUUACGAGUAGGGCUACACACGUGCUACAAUGGCAUAUACAAAGAGAAGCGAACUCGCGAGAGCAAGCGGACCUCAUAAAGUAUGUCGUAGUCCGGAUUGGAGUCUGCAACUCGACUCCAUGAAGUCGGAAUCGCUAGUAAUCGUAGAUCAGAAUGCUACGGUGAAUACGUUCCCGGGCCUUGUACACACCGCCCGUCACACCAUGGGAGUGGGUUGCAAAAGAAGUAGGUAGCUUAACCUUCGGGAGGGCGCUUACCACUUUGUGAUUCAUGACUGGGGUGAAGUCGUAACAAGGUAACCA